CCUACGGGGCGCAGCAGUGGGGAAUAUUGGGCAAUGGACGCAAGUCUGACCCAGCAACGCCGCGUGAAGGAAGAAGGCUUUCGGGUUGUAAACUUCUUUUAAGGGGGAAGAGCAGAAGACGGUACCCCUUGAAUAAGCCACGGCUAACUACGUGCCAGCAGCCGCGGUAAUACGUAGGUGGCAAGCGUUGUCCGGAUUUACUGGGUGUAAAGGGAGUGUAGGCGGGAAAGAAAGUCAGAAGUGAAAACUAUGGGCUUAACCCAUAGCCUGCUUUUGAAACUGUUUUUCUUGAGGGAAGUAGAGGG
rnacentral:rRNA from 1 species